CCUUAGUGAAGCUUUCCCCUAUGAGCCUGGAACCUGAUAUGGAGAGCCAAUGGAAUAGCAAUAUGCUGAGCUUUUAGCCUAUGCUCUUCAGUUCUUUCACCUCCAUCUCACUUUCAGUCAAAGUCAAGCACCAUCUGUGGAUAGCAUUCUGUCCUGCUGUACCUGGAGGAAAGGCACCACAAAGCAGAGCUGGUUCCUGCUCUUGCCUGAGCUGUAUUUAAGGCAGUUGUGUGUACACAUCUGGGACACAACCACGGAGGGGCCGUGCUUCCUCAUUGGCAAAACCCAGCAGCAGUGUCACAGGAGAGUUUUGACAGGAGCAAAGUCUUUCUGUGUGUCAAGAUGGUGGGUGAAUCGAAGCGCUUGUUAAAACUUCUCUGAAACCUUUCCUGGAUGUUAGUUGGUGUGAUUGCUUGGAUGCUGCUGCAGCUGCAUGCUUCACAGGAUGCAAUGCCUAGAUUUCUGGGGAGAUGCAAAUAGUUUUUCUUCAGUAGUACAUGCUGUGGUGGAGAUACUGAGGUCCUGCUGUGAAUGACCACUUCAGCCUCAGUGUUGGGCUGAGCACAUACUGCUCACCUUGCCAUGGCCAGCUGCGGUCAGCACUCUGGAGCAUCAAACCUAAAUGCUUCCAAGGUGGAGAAAUGAAGCCCUCAGCUUUCAAUGCCUGCACAGCUCUUGUCUGGAAUG